rnacentral:rRNA from 1 species
UACGUAGGUGGCAAGCGUUGUCCGGAUUUACUGGGCGUAAAGGGCGUGCAGGCGGUUUGUUAAGUUCAGGGUGAAGGCUCCCGGCUCAACUGGGAGAGGUCCUUGGAUACUGGCAGACUUGAGGAGGGUAGAGGAGAGUGGAAUUCCCGGUGUAGUGGUGAUAUGCGUAGAUAUCGGGAGGAACACCAGUGGCGAAGGCGGCUCUCUGGGCCAUACCUGACGCUGAGACGCGAAAGCGUGGGGAGCGAACCGG